rnacentral:rRNA from 1 species
GAGAUACUGUUGGGCUAGGAGGCGGGAGAGGCCGACGGUAUCCCGGGGUAGGGGUGAAAUCCUAUAAUCCCGGGAGGACCACCAGUGGCGUAGGCUGUCGGCUAGAACGCGCUCGACGGUGAGGGACGAAAGCUGGGGGAGCGAACCGGAUUAGAUACCCGGGUAGUCCCAGCUGUAAACGAUGCGGGCUAGGUGUUGGGGUGGCUACGGGCCACUUCAGUGCCGCAGGGAAACCAUUAAGCCCGCCGCCUGGGGAGUACGGCCGCAAGGCUGAAACUUAAAGGAAUUGGCGGGGGAGCACCACAAGGCGUGAAGCUUGCGGUUCAAUUGGAGUCAACGCCGGGAACCUUACCGGGGGCGACAGCAGGAUGAAGGCCAGAUUGAAGGUCUUGCUGGACAAGCUGAGAGGAGGUGCAUGGCCGUCGCCAGUUCGUGCCGUGAGGUGUCCUGUUAAGUCAGGCAACGAUCGAGACCCGCGCCCUUAGUUGCUACCGAGGAAGUUUUCCAAAGGGCACUCUAGGGGGACUGCCGCCGAUAAGGCGGAGGAAGGAGCGGGCCACGGCAGGUCAGUAUGCCCCGAAUCCCCCGGGCCACACGCGAGCUGCAAUGGCAGGGACAAUGGGUUCCCACCUCGAAAGGGGGAGGCAAUCCCGAAACCCUGCCUCAGUUGGGAUCGAGGGCUGUAACCCGCCCUCGUGAACA